rnacentral:misc_RNA from 1 species
GAUGAAGAACGUAGCGAAAUGCGAUAAGUAGUGUGAAUUGCAGAAUUCAGUGAAUCAUCGAAUCUUUGAACGCACAUUGCGCCCCUUGGUAUCCCGAGGGGCAUGCCUGUUCGAGCGUCAUUUCUGCCCUCCAGCCCGGCUGGGUGUUGGGCGCUGUCCCCCCGGGGACACGCCCCAAAGGCAGUGGCGGCGCCGCGUCGGGUCCUCGAGCGUAUGGGGCUUUGUCACCCGCUCGGGACGGACUCGUCGGCGCUGGUCUUCCUCCAGGCGACCCUUCGGGGCUCGUCUUCCUUCGGUUGACCUCGGAUCAGGUAGGGUUACCCGCUGAACUUAAGCAUAUCAAUAAGCGGAGGA